rnacentral:rRNA from 1 species
UACGAAGGGGGCUAGCGUUGCUCGGAAUCACUGGGCGUAAAGGGUGCGUAGGCGGGUCUUUAAGUCAGGGGUGAAAUCCUGGAGCUCAACUCCAGAACUGCCUUUGAUACUGAGGAUCUUGAGUUCGGGAGAGGUGAGUGGAACUGCGAGUGUAGAGGUGAAAUUCGUAGAUAUUCGGAAGAAUACCAGUGGCGAAGGCGGCUCACUGGACCGGUACUGACGCUGAGGUGCGAAAGCGUGGGGAGCAAACAGG